GUCGGAGUGGCGGAAUUGGCAGACGCGCUAGCUUGAGGGGCUAGUGCCCGAAAGGGCGUGGAGGUUCAAGUCCUCUCUCCGACACCA
rnacentral:tRNA from 1 species